AGCAGCAAAACAUUGAACCUUUGCCUUGUGGAUUCUCAUUUAUUAAAGCAAAGAGAAAAGGAGUAUAAGAUAUAAAGUUUCAUGUGCAGACCUUCCCUCCUUAUGAAUUCUGUGUUGAAAUGAAUCACUGUAAAACCCCAGGGAUUUGGCCAACCUCUUCUCCUGUCUCCUGCCAACUUUGACCUGGUUUUCUACAAGACUUAAGAGAACCAGAACUGCAGACUUUUAGCUGAGCAUAUUACUUCUCAGAAUAAAGAUUGCAUUUCCAGGCUUCCUUUCGGCUCAGUGCCUGUG